GAUGAACGCUGGCGGCGUGCCUAAUACAUGCAAGUCGAGCGAAUGGAUUAAGAGCUUGCUCUUAUGAAGUUAGCGGCGGACGGGUGAGUAACACGUGGGUAACCUGCCCAUAAGACUGGGAUAACUCCGGGAAACCGGGGCUAAUACCGGAUAACAUUUUGAACCGCAUGGUUCGAAAUUGACAGGCGGCUUCGGCUGUCACUUAUGGAUGGUCCCGCGUUGCAUUAGCUAGUUGGUGAGGUAACGGCUCACCAAGGCAACGAUGCGUAGCCGACCUGAGCGGGAGAUCUGCUACACUGGGACUGAGGCACGGCCCAGACUCCUACGGGUGGCAGCAGUAGGGAAUGUUCCGCAAUGGACGAAAGUCUGAAGGAGCAACGCCGCGUGAGUGAUGAAGGCUUUCGGGUCGUAAAACUCUGUUGUUAGGGAAAAACAAGUGCUAGUUGAAUAAGCUGGCACCUUGACGGUACCUAACCAGAAAGCCACGGCUAACUACGUGCCAGCCGCCGCGGUAA
rnacentral:rRNA from 1 species